GACGAACGCUGGCGGCGUGCUUAACACAUGCAAGUCGAACGAAGUGGCGCACGGGUGAGUAACGCGUAAUCAACCUGCCCUACAGAGGGGAACAACAGUUGGAAACGACUGCUAAUACCGCAUACUGAAGGAGGGGAGUGCGUCUGAUUAGCUAGUUGGAGGGGUAACGGCCGACCAAGGCGAUGAUCAGUAGCCGGCGUGCGAGGAUGAACGGCCCCAUUGGGCCUGAUACACGGCCCAUACUCCUACGGUACGCAGCAGUGGGGAAUCGUCCGCAAUGGACGAAAGUCUGAAGGAGUCACGCCGAGUGAGUCAUGACGGCCUUCGUGUUGUAAAGCUCUGUUACUCGGGCCGCGGUCCCGGACUAGAAAGCCACGGCUAACUACGUGCAAGCAGCCGCGGUAAUC
rnacentral:rRNA from 1 species